rnacentral:rRNA from 1 species
AUGUGGUAUCUUCGUAGGGGAGUUGUUCUAACCAAAGACAACCUCGCACGCCGCAACUGGCCAAGGAGUAAGAAGUGUUGUUUUUGCACUCAUGAAGAGACAAUCAAACACCUCUUUUUCCAAUGCAAGUUUGCACGUUCUACGUGGUCAGUCAUCCAAAUAGCGUCAAAUUUGUAUCCGCCCACAAGUGUCGCCAAUAUUUUUGGUCAUUGGUUGGAUGGUAUUUCAAAUAGGUUGAAAACGCUAAUAAGGGUGAGAGCGUAUGCCUUACUAUGGUCGCUUUGGCUAUGUAGGAAUGAUUUGGUUUUCAAAUAA